rnacentral:tRNA from 1 species
GCCGGCGUGGCGGAAUGGUAGACGCGACGGAUUCAAAAUCCGUUGGGGGUGACCCCGUGCCGGUUCGAGUCCGGCCGCCGGUA